rnacentral:rRNA from 1 species
UUAUGGCUCAGGACGAACGCUGGCGGCAUGCUUCAUACAUGCAAAGUCGAACGAUAAGGUCUCUUCGGAGAUACAUAAGUGGCGGACGGGUGAGUAAUAUGUAGGAAAUCUGCCCUUGAGAGGGGGACAACAGAGGGAAACUUCUGCUAAUACCCCAUAUGAGCGUACCUGAAAUGGUAUUCUUGAAAACUCCGGUGCUCAAGGAUGAGCCUGCAUCUGAUUAGCUUGUUGGCGGUGUAAUGGACCACCAAGGCGACGAUCAGUAGCUGGUUUGAGAGGAUGAUCAGCCACAAUGGGACUGAGACACGGCCCAUACUCCUACGGGAGGCAGCAGUAGGGAAUUUUGCGCAAUGGGCGAAAGCCUGAACCGCAGCAAUGCCGCGUGAACGUAGAAGCCCUUCGGGGUGUAAAGUUCUGUCAGUAGGGACGAAUUUUGACGGUACCUACAGAGGAAGCACCGGCUAACUCCGUGCCAGCAGCAGC